UGCUGUAGCAAUCACUGGAGAUGCCACAAUAUGAGGCCAAACAGCAUUGUUACCAUCACAAAUGCCUCUACAAAAAGCAUGGUUAAGCUGAAUUAGGAACGAAUGGGCCUGAAGUAGCAACCAGUAGCCAGUCAGCCAGCAAUGAAAGGGAGCUCUACCUCCAGAGAAUGCCUUUCCACUAUUUGACAGCAGUUGAACUCAUCUUUGCUAGAACUCCUAGGCUCAGACAGUGCUGCUUAUAUAUUGCUUAAAGUCAACAUCACUCUAGAAACUGUGGGCAGCCAGUCCAUAACAAGCUUGCAGUCUAAUAGUCUAAGAAUCAGACAAGAUGGUGAUUUGGUAAAGAGUUAUGUCACCUAUGUUUUGGGAUCAACUAUGUGCAAGUUUUCUGGCAGCAAUCUUCGAAAGCAGGAGUGAUCAAAAGUAAGAAGCAAAUUCAAAAUAAAGAUUUUGUCCCCAAAGUUUAAUUCUUAUACUGCUCUAAACUUAUAGCAAAAGGAAUUCAUGGGAGUGCAAUGUUCUUCAAAUUUGAUUUUUUUAUUUUCAAGAGACAAACCCAAUUCUUCUUUCAGCUUUGGCAAUUCAUUCUUUACACCUAAUACAUGAGCUGGACCAUGUCUGCUCCUGUGAUACCCUCUUGCUCAUAAUAUAAAGUACAAACUCAUUGGUCUAAAAAGCACUUUAUAAUCUGGCUCAAAUCUUCCUUUCCAGACUCAUGCACUCCAUAUUGCAGACAGAUUUGAUUUUCCCCGUUCUUAGAUCUGGUCUUGUCCUCUCUUAGUUCCAUGUAUCCAUAUGAAGUGUGCCCUCUGUCUGAAAUGGACUUCCUCCAUGGCUACUUGUUGAAAUUUUUCUCUUCAUUCAAAACCAAUUUCCCUACAAAAUAUUAUUCCCUAAUCUCUGUUCUCCACUAAAAGAGAUUUCUUUCCCUCUCAAAUUUUCCCCAAAAACUUCAUUUGGAUUGCUCUUUGUUUCAUAUUCACUUGUACACAUGACAUCUUCAAUGCCUAGCCAAUAAAUUGAUAUUUCUUAAAAUAAUAUGUGGUCAUUUAUUCCACUUCUGUAUAUUAAGAGCCUACUACAGUGCCAUCCAUACAGUAGGCACUUUUAAAUGUUCAAUGAGUGUUGAAUGAACCAAUCAAGUCAAGCUCAUUAAUUGUAUAA